UGCCUUAUAGUUUAAUUGGUAAAAUAUUCAUUUAUAAAAUGAAAAAGUAUAGGUUCAAUUCCUUUUAAGGUCU
rnacentral:tRNA from 1 species